UACGUAGGGGGCGAGCGUUGUCCGGAUUCAUUGGGCGUAAAGAGCUCGUAGGCGGUUCGGCAAGUCGGGUGUGAAAACUCCAGGCUCAACCUGGAGACGCCACCCGAUACUGCUGUGACUCGAGUCCGGUAGGGGGCCACGGAAUUCCUGGUGUAGCGGUGAAAUGCGCAGAUAUCAGGAGGAACACCGGUGGCGAAGGCGGUGGUCUGGGCCGGUACUGACGCUGAGGAGCGAAAGCGUGGGGAGCGAACAGG
rnacentral:rRNA from 1 species